AGCGGGGUGGGGUAGCCUGGAUAACCCGGCGGGCUCAUAACCCGCAGAUCAGUAGUUCAAAUCUACUCCCCGCUA
rnacentral:tRNA from 1 species